UACGGAGGAUGCGAGCGUUAUCCGGAUUUAUUGGGUUUAAAGGGUGCGUAGGCGGCUUUCUAAGUCAGCGGUGAAAUUUUGCAGCUUAACUGUAACAGUGCCGUUGAUACUGGGGAGCUAGGAUUUGGUUGCUGUGGGUGGAAUGUGUGGUGUAGCGGUGAAAUGCUUAGAGAUCACACAGAAUAUCGAUUGCGAAGGCAGCUCACAAAGCCAAGAUUGACGCUGAGGCACGAAAGUGUGGGGAUCAAACAGGA
rnacentral:rRNA from 1 species